AUAAAGGACUUGUCUAGGGGAGAGCCUAUGGAUCUGAGAACGCUGUCUGGGCUUGGUACCAAGAGCUGGUAUUUCACAGCAGCGACCGCCUCACAGACGAGCUGUGGGAAGCAGGAGGGAGACUCUCUCUUAGGGUGCCACUACUAUGGAGACACAGCUGGGCUGAACAAGAUUUGCUUCAAACGACAACAAGAGAGACAGAAAGUAUCUGGUUCAACCGCUGCCCGAGCAGGCAGGCACCAGAAGAGCUAGCAGCCAAUCCGGCCAUGCUCGAAGCCAGCUCUGCAGCUCAGCCAAUCAGUGACAUCAUUGCUUUCUUUAGCUUGCCCAUGGUGAUGUGAAGAUGAGAAGAAAUAGCAAGGCCCAACCAGUUCUUCAUCUGGAGACAGUUCAACGUUCUGCAAACCAGAUCUUCAGGAAUUUUACUGGGAUAAUUAUCCAAAUAAAUUGCAAGCAUUCUAUCCAAAUGGACAUCCAUAAAAAUUCAUCAGAGAGCAUUUUACUACUGAGCUGCAAAGGGAAAAACUUAAAAUGGAUAUGAAAAGUGAAGAAAGUGAUCAUAGGAGAAAACCAUUUCAGGUGUCUGAUGAUUUGUGAGCCUCAAGUGACUACUCUGUGGAAUCAUCUGUCCUUGCCUUUGAAUUAGCUUUCCCUAGGCCAUGAGUCAACAUUAGUAGUUUAUACAUCCAAAUUGAUGACAAGAGCACCUCAAAGGCAGCAGCCUCAAGGAGCAGCCAUGGCCCCAGACUUGUCGCACGGAUGCAGAAAACUUAAUGGAGGAGGCUGAGGUCAGAAUGGGAAGAGUUUUUAAAAAAUAAAAAGGGGAGCUAAUAUGUGAGGAACUGAUUGCUGUGCAUUAUUUUCCACUGAACAGACCUUCUUUUAACUUCUAAUCUCAAGCACAUAGCAGCUGUUGUUUUCAUAUUAAAGAUCAGUAAGUGUUUGUUGAAUGAAUGUAUAAAUUCUUCCCCAAUCUCUGUUCCAUGUAAUAAGAACUAAGUUAGCAUUCAAUUAUAAAGAGGACUUAGAAAGUCUGCAGACAUUUUUGAUCAAAAAUCCUUUUAACUGUCUUCUUAUGGUUCCCGGUAACACCUAAGCCCAAAAAACUCAGGUCAUUUCUUGCCUGUACUGUUGCAAUAGCCUCAUAAUAACUAGUCUUCUCCUUUAUCAACCACAGUCGUCUCCGCUACACAAAGAAGAGAGGGUGCUAAUCUAAAGUGUAAAUUAUUUUAAAUCAGCACCCUUCUUGUAAUUUCCCAGUGGUUUUUCCUGUCAUAAGAAUAACAUGCAAAAUUCCUUGCUUGCAAAGCCAGGUAUGACCUUGCCCCGUCUACCUUACUGGCAUCGUCUCUCAUGACUCUUCCCCUUUUUCACUCUCCAUCUUGCCUUUUCCCAACCAUGCCUGCUAGUGAGCCUUAGCCCUUGUGUUUUCUCUGCCAGGGAUGCAUGACUGGCUUCUUUACUUUAUUCUGAUCUCUCUGCUCAAAUGUCAUCUUUUUAGAGAUAGCUUUCCUAAACAUCUUUAAAAGUACCCCAUGAACUGUGAAACACCUUUCCUGCUUUUUCUUCAUAGUACUUAUCACUUCCUGAUAUUAUGUUAGACAACAAGCAAAUAAGUAUAUGCUGUUCCCACUAAAAUAUAAGCUCCAUUUGAACAGGAGCCUUGAUUAUUCCUGAGUAUACCCCUAGUGCCCAGAACCUAGUAGGGCUUUAAUAAAUAUUAGAUUCAUUUGUUGAAUGAAAAAAUGAAUGAAUAAUUGAAUAAAGAUAUCCAGGUAGAGUGUCCGGGCAGCCCAACCUAUGUGAAGCCAGUACAAGAAUGUUUCUGUGACAUAGUGAGCGCAAUUAUUCCUCUAAAUGAUGAACUUGCAUGAGUACACAAGGAUAAAAUUAAGCACGUAGUUUAGAUUUCUGCAAGUCUCUUCCUCAGAUUGAGGAAAAACAAAGAAAUUGAGCUUAUUCUCACCUCAUUCUUACAUGAACUAAAUCCAGAAUAAAGCAUCAUUUAAAUACCAAGCACAUCCCUACCUCAGCCACUCAUGGAAUACUUUAUCUGUAAAGGGACAGAUAGAUAGUAAAUAUUUUUGGCUUUGGGGACCGUACAGUCUGUGUCGCCACUACUCAGCACUUCUGUUGAGGUGUGGAAUCAGCCCUAGACAACACAUAAACAAAUGGGUGUGGCUGUGUUCCAAUAAAAUGUUAUUUAUAAAACUAGGAAAUCAGCAGAUUUAGUCCACAGGCUGUAGUUUGCUGACCCUUGAAUUAGAGAGUCUUCCCCAAAUCCUCUUCCCAAGUUAUUGAAAGAAUGCCCAUAGGACCAUAGCUCCCUCACCUGGUUCUUUCAAGAAAUGAGACAAAUUCAGGGAUGGUUGGAGGGUGGAACGCCUACCUGUGACAUGACUAUUGAGCCUGAUUUCUUUCCUUUUAUCUCUUUAAAGUGAGUCAGGUCUUAACUUUAAACUGUCUCUAAAGUGGCAAUAACUGGGCCAUGUCAAAUACUCCCAAUGACAAAAUUUCUUCUUGGAGAAUGAAUGAGGGUUGCAUACAGUGGUGUGUUGGUAAAUGUUUAGCAACUGGCUCUCUUACUGAUUUCUGUAGUGUAAAUUCUCCCAUCCUGGCCAUCUGAAACUACCAAUAUGAUGUCACUUGAUGUAGAGUUGGGAAAAGACAGUCUCUUGAAUAAGUAUGAGCUGGUUCCAGCCCACUGCUGAACACAUAUUUAAAAGCUACAAUAGCUCUGCUCACUGCCAUUGCAGAGUCUGGAGGAAAGAGUAGCAGGCUUGAUAGGAGCAAUUGGCUGAAUAAUCUUUUGCAAUGCCAAUAAAUAAUGAAAAAGUAUAUAAAUAUAACGCUGUAUAGAAAGCUCUCAAGUUCAGUGUUUGGUUAAAAUACAUACUCAGUAAAUGGUAGCUAUUAUUGUCUUAGUUUAAGUUAUUGCAAGCAUUAAAAUUAAAUGUUUAGCUACAGACUCAAUCCAGUUUUAAUGUCAUUGUGUUAAUAAGGCCUCUUAACAUUGAAGCAACAAAGAUAAAGGAAUUUUUUUGUAGCUAUUCACGAUUCUGCCCAGCUCAAGGUAAAGAUAGCAACAAAAUACUCCAACCAGAAUAAAAGAAGUCUCCACUUGACUGCAGCUCUUCGCAACACUUCACAAGGGUCAAGCUGUGUUAGUUUCCUUCAGUGUUAAACAGAAUGCAUCUUAAGAGAAUAGUUCAAUUAUUGAUUGAAUAGUAGGUUCAAGUUGACUAUAAUCCCAACUAAUACACUCUAAGACCAGGGAUGGGCCGACAGAAGGGUAAAGUUUUCCACUCAAGUCUCGAGGCAAACACUCAGAUAGAAGUAGUAAUAUGGAUGCCUUCUAUUAUUUGGUCACAUACAAUACUGUUCCAGCCCAGUUGUGCAAAACUGGUGAAAUAAAAGGCAAAAAUAUUGACAACAGUUUGGGUAACUGGAUUCCAAAAUGGGCAUCCAUCUAAGAGAAAUUAAUGAAAAAAAAGCAUAUGGACCUUGAAAUACAUUAAUACACAGUUUAGGUUUAAACACUCAGUUUUUAUUAGAAAAGACUAACUUAUCCUGUUUUGAACACUACAAAAGUGCUUUCUGAACCAUUUACUCUCAAACCUCCUCCACCCAUUCCCCUCCAUCUAUAACGCUUUCUGCACAUCUGUAAAAGGUAUGACUUAGUGUUUGGUCUGUGAAAUAAGGUUAAAAAGGAAGCAUUUCUUUUUACAUUCUAGCUAAUGUUGAUAUUUUUCUCAUGCUUCUAUUAGCACAUAAUUCAGAUACAUUAGUUUUGAAGUUUUGAAUCUUCUCUGCUUCUUGAGGGCUCUCUGUUCUAGAUCAACAUGAUCUGUGGAACACCAGCCAAGUCCUGGGCAGAACCCUCCCCGUUGUCCAAAUAUUACUGAAUCAGUUGAGUUUUCUCUGUUGUCAAUGAAUUAUUCCACAUGUUUCUUUGGCUACAUUUUUUUUGGCUUUCUGUUCACAGUAAAUAUAGCCUUUGUUUUUAAAAACUUCUAUUAUGAAAAUUCCAAAUAUAUGCAAAUUAGAGAGAAUAGCAUAAUGAACCUCUAUGUGCUUAUCACACAUAUAGGUUCAACUAAUUAAAUUAUAUCAAUUUAUGGCCAAUCUGGUUUCAUUUAUAACAUCAUUCGCUCAUUCCUAACUCCCUGGAUUAUUUGAUUGACAUGUUUCUAAAGUUCCUUUUAAUCUGUAGGUUCCCCCUCUCAUUUAAUCUUUUGCAACUUAUUCAUUGAUGAAACUGGGUUAUUUGUCCUUUAUUGUUUCUCUCAUUCUGAAAUAUGCUGUAAUGUCAUUAACCAUAUUCUUCUUUCCUGUAUUUUCUGUAAGCUUUGAGCUAGGCAGAAAUAUUUUAAUCAGAUUCCUUUUUUUUUCUUUUAGCAAGAUUUCUUCAUAAAUAAUAUUGUAUGUGUUCAUGAAAAUAGAAAUAAAAAUAGAAAUAAAGAAGAAAUAACAGAAAA
rnacentral:lncRNA from 1 species